CUACGGAGGGUGCAAGCGUUACUCGGAAUCACUGGGCGUAAAGCGCGCGCAGGCGGUCUUUUAAGUUGGAUGUGAAAGCCUACGGCUUAACCGUAGAACUGCAUCCAAAACUAUUAGACUAGAGUGUGGGAGAGGAAGAUGGAAUUAGUUGUGUAGGGGUAAAAUCCGUAGAGAUAACUAGGAAUACCAAAAGCGAAGGCAAUCUUCUGGAACACUACUGACGCUGAGGCGCGAAAGCGUGGGGAGCAAACAGGAUUAGAUACCCAAGUAGUCC
rnacentral:rRNA from 1 species